rnacentral:rRNA from 1 species
CACAUGCAGUCGAGGGGUAUUAGUUUUCGGACUAAGAGACCGGCGCACGGGUGCGGUAACGCGUAUCGCAUCUACCUUUUACAGAGGGAUAGCCCAGAGAAAUUUGGAUUAAUACCUCAUAGCAUUGCAGAAUGGCAUCAUUUAGCAAUUAAAGUUCCAACGGUAAAAGAUGAGCAUGCGUCCCAUUAGCUAGAUGGUAAGGUAACGGCUUACCAUGGCUACGAUGGGUAGGGGUCCUGAGAGGGAGAUCCCCCACACUGGUACUGAGACACGGACCAGACUCCUACGGGAGGCAGCAGUGAGGAAUAUUGGACAAUGGGCGCAAGCUUGAUCCAGCCAUGCCGCGUGCGGGAUGACGGUCCUAUGGCUUGUAAACUGCUUUUAUACGAGAAGAACACUACUUCGUGAAGAAGCUUGACGGUUUCGUAGAAAUAAGGUUGGGUUAAUUCCGUGCAACCGGCCGCGUAAAUACGGAGAAUCCAGGCGUUAUCCGAAUCUUUGGUUUUAAGGGCCCCGAGGCGGGC